rnacentral:misc_RNA from 1 species
UUUUUGGAUCGGACUCAUACUCCUGGGGCCUGCUCGACCUUAGUGCUAAUGCUACUUCGUUUUGUCUUGGCGUGUCUUAGUCUCUUGCAAAAUUUUCAUAAUCAUCUGGAAUAUGCCAAGGAAUCAGCAGUGACCAUAGAAUUUCCAUACUCUUUUUUUUUUUAACUGGAUAUCUGCUGGCUCCAAUGAUCACAUAUAAGGAAAAGAAACAGAAUUAGAAAGGAAAAUAUUCCAAAGUCAAGGGCCUUUUAAGUGUCACUUGAACAGGAAUGGUUGAAUUUGGUGACCAAACAAUCCAAAAUUGAAAUUAGGUUUGUCCACUCUCCAUGCAUUUCUGAUUAAUUCUAGCUGUCUUUCCUUUUCAUCCAUUGUUCUUUGUCUUUCAGUUUGCAUUGCCAGAAAUAUCAUGUUUAACACUAAAUAUUGUUGUGUCUCUGGAGAGGUUUCUGAGACUUGGCAUGUGCCUUUGAUGGUGCAGCAGUUGCAGGAUCAAUUGUUUCUACGCCAUCCCAUAAAAGCUGCAAAUCUCACAUAGUUUUUGGUCAUUUUGACUAUAGAAUACUCCACCCUGUGUGGAUGAUGCUAACCUCCACUGGACCAUAAAUAGCCGGUAAACCUGAUUGAAUCUAACUGAGCAUAAAAGAUAGUCUUACCCCGCUUUGCAGAGAGACUAUUUCAUAGAAACAUUAGAUGUAAAGAGUUGCAAAUUUAAAGAGUUAAACAUGAAUCAAACAGGUAAAAUAGAUACGUUUUUACCAAUUAAACCACCAACUCGGUGAUAUUAUGAUUUUGACAUUAGAAACAAGUUACUUUUAAAAUUGAACAGCUAAUGGCUCCUGGAAGAAUUUUGGAAUCAGAUUUUAGAUGAUUGUGGAUUUCAUAGGACCCAUGCAUAUCAUAACAGGAGGAGCUUUCCUGAGUCAAACUGAGUUAAAAUUGAAAUUUCUAAGUUAUUUUAGAUAAAAAAUUAAAAAUGCGCUAAAUUGAACUUUUCAAAUAAGUACAGGGUUAAAUUGAAUAUUUUGCCAAUUAAAUUCCGUGUCAAAUACAAAGAUCAAAUUAAUUUUUUAUCCAUUUUAAAUUAAACAAGGGCGAAAUGCAACAUAUACAACCUAAAACAUUAAGAACAAAACAAUAUUUAGCAUUUGAUAAACCAUGAUUACUUAUUAAAGAUUGUUUUACCCUCAAAAACUUUUCCGAAACAUCAAAAUUUCUACAUUUCUCUUUUUUACUUCACCUAAAAGGAAUAAGAAUUUCCAUAGCCAAUAGUUGGUGAAUGUGAGCACCUUUCAUUAGUGAAAUAGUUUUUAAUGUCAAGAGACACAACAAGAUGGGUCAAGAGAGAGAGAGGUUCCUAAUAAUUAGAGGCAGCCACAGUGGAGGAGGAAAUUGCUUCUAUGGUGGUGGAGAUGUAUGAUUGAUAGUGUAAUUAAUGUAGAAGAUACAAGAGAAGAGUAAAGAAAACUAGUAACUAAGAAUGUAGGAAGUAAUAACCUUUUGACACCAUAUGUGAUUUAAUUGGUUUCAUUUGAAACUUGAAAGAUCUCACAGCCAAAGCGAUGAUUUUAAUGGCAUCAUUGUUACCUUUUGACACCAUUUAAGUGUGCCUUUCCAGCGUCUAUAAAUUUCUAACAAAAACAGAAUUACAACAAACUAUAAAAGUCUAUCCGUUCAUACGAGAACGACGAAUCCCUAAGGUAGACCCGGCUGAACGUCUUGAAGCAGUAUAAAUCUUCCAAUCCUCCUUCAGCGGCCUCAACGGCUCCACCACGUCCUCCUUCUUCGCCAUUGGCCUCUCUUUCUUCAGCUUCUCUUUGGGAGUUAGGAGAUCAAAAAGGAAAGCUAAUAUAGUUGCAGUCGUUGAUGCGGAUGAGAAAAUUACUUGCAUUAUUUCUUUGAACCAGGAGGAUCUAGAAAGAGGAAGAACUUGACCAGAAAAUAAAUCAUAAUUAUUGAAGUAUUUAUUCAUAGAGAGACCCAUAAAGAGAGAAAUGCCUAGAAUGAACUUUGACCUGAACCUAUCCAAUUCGCAGUAAUAGAGAUCUUCAAGCCCUGCUGAAACCACAUAAGGGAAGAAGACGAUAUGCAGAGAUGCCACAAUUGACAACGGUACAGAAGCGAGAAUAGCUGUGAGUUUUCCUAGUGUGGAAAAGAGAAGCAAGAAAAUUGCUGAUACGAAAGCGAUCCUCAGGCUGCCAACCCUUGUUAAUCCCACUAAACCAGAAUGGUCAACUGAAGCAGUGGAACCAAGUCCCAUGCCAAAAACUGCAUCAAAUAAAGUUCCAAUUCCCUGUAAGCCAAUAGCAUAACGGAGUAGAUCAGGCGAAAUAGGUAGUGCACUCCUAUACUUUCUCUUUGCUAUCGACGAAUAUUUUUUAUCAACAUCUUUUUUAGUAGUCUGUCUGGCAAUUGGACCAUUGAGUUUUGGGGGUUUUGCACGAAAUUCUCCCCCUAAUCUUGAUGAGGUGGAAAAUGUUCCUAUGGACUGCCAUGUUCACUUGAGAAGAAAAUGAAGUAAUUUGAUUGUUCAGAAGCGGCAUCAACUUGUGAACUUGAUCUUUAAAUGGAUUAAGACUAGAGCUAUCUUAGAUUAUGUCCUCAAUAUUUCUUGAAACUGAAUCCGUAGUAACAUCUGAGACUUGAUGAAUAAUAGACCCGAAACCUCCCUAAAAAACUUUGAUGCAAUUUUCCCCAAAUUGAAGCAACACGAAGGGAAACAGAUCUUAGAAACCAUGCUGCAAAGAGAUAAUUGCAACGAAUCCAUGGGAGAUGCUGUGAAGACUUACAAAUUGUACCAUCAAGAAACCCUUGAUUAGAUCUCCUCCUUGAUAGAAAAUUGGUUGAGAUGAGUUCAGGAAUUACUACUACUGAGUUACGAUUUUCUGAAUGAUAAAGAUAACAGAGUGAAGUACCAUCUUCUAAUAGACUUGCAGUAGCUAUAAAAGACAUUGCCGCCAUUGAUGAACGGUAAAGCCUUGAGAAUAAGAAAGGAAGAAAAUAACUAUCUCUAGAUCUAGAUUUGGAUCUCUAGCUCUGACACCAUAUUACAGAGAUGUGCUAGAAUGAAAAUGUACUUCUCAUCGAUUAGAAUAUCCUUCUGAUGUUCAUA